rnacentral:rRNA from 1 species
GACGAACGCUGGCGGCGUGCUUAACACAUGCAAGUCGAACGGAAAGGCCUUUUCGGAGGUACUCGAGUGGCGAACGGGUGAGUAACACGUGGGUGAUCUGCCCUGCACUCUGGGAUAAGCCUGGGAAACUGGGUCUAAUACCGGAUAGGACCGCACUUUAGUGUGUGUGGUGGAAAGUUUUUUCGGUGUAGGAUGAGCCCGCGGCCUAUCGGCUUGUUGGUGGGGUAAUGGCCUACCAAGGCGGCGGCGGGUAGCCGGACUGGGAGGUUGGUCGGCCACAUUGGGACUGAGAUACGGCCCAGACUCCUACGGGAGGCAGCAGUGGGGAAUAUUGCACAAUGGGCGCAAGCCUGAUGCAGCGACGCCGCGUGGGGGAUGACGGCCUUCGGGUUGUAAACUCCUUUCGCCAGGGACGAAGCGUUUUGUGACGGUACCUGGAGAAGAAGCACCGGCUAACUACGUG